rnacentral:rRNA from 1 species
UACGUAGGGUCCAAGCGUUAAUCGGAAUUACUGGGCGUAAAGCGUGCGCAGGCGGUUGUGUAAGACAGAUGUGAAAUCCCCGGGCUUAACCUGGGAACUGCAUUUGUGACUGCACGGCUAGAGUGUGUCAGAGGGGGGUAGAAUUCCACGUGUAGCAGUGAAAUGCGUAGAUAUGUGGAGGAAUACCAAUGGCGAAGGCGGGUCCCUGGGCAGUAACUGACGCUGAGGAGCGAAAGCGUGGGGAGCGAACAGG